rnacentral:rRNA from 1 species
UACGUAGGGCGCAAGCGUUAUCCGGAAUUAUUGGGCGUAAAGAGCUCGUAGGCGGUUUGUCGCGUCUGCCGUGAAAGUCCGGGGCUCAACUCCGGAUCUGCGGUGGGUACGGGCAGGACUAGAGUGAUGUAGGGGAGACUGGAAUUCCUGGUGUAGCGGUGAAAUGCGCAGAUAUCAGGAGGAACACCGAUGGCGAAGGCAGGUCUCUGGGCAUUAACUGACGCUGAGGAGCGAAAGCAUGGGGAGCGAACAGG